AGGUCAGAUUUUCAAACCUGAACCUAAUCUAUUUAAUAAACAGGUCACCUAACUCGACCUAUUUAACCUGUUUAUUAAACAAUUAACCUGUUUAUCCAACCCAACCCGACCUGUUUAACCCAUUUAUUAUUGAACCCAUUUAACCUGUUUAACCUGUUUAAAUAACACAUGCAAGAUACUAUUCAUUAAAUAAAUCAUAGGUAAAUAAUGAUCAUUAGAGAGUCAGGAAUCCAUAAAUUAGAGCAAAAAUAGUUAGACAAAAAUUUUUGAUUUAAACCAGCCGAGC
rnacentral:lncRNA from 1 species